rnacentral:rRNA from 1 species
CCUACGGGAGGCUGCAGUGAGGAAUAUUGGUCAAUGGGCGCGAGCCUGAACCAGCCAAGUCGCGUGAGGGAAGACGGUCCUAUGGAUUGUAAACCUCUUUUGUCGGGGAGCAAAAGACGCCCCGCGUGGCGUUCCGAGAGUACCCGAAGAAAAAGCAUCGGCUAACUCCGUGGCAGCAGCCGCGGUAAUACGGAGGAUGCGAGCGUUAUCCGGAUUUAUUGGGUUUAAGGGGUGCGCAGGCGGAAGAUCAAGUCAGCGGGAAGAGUGAGAGGCUCAACCUCUUCGAGCCGUUGAAACUGGUUUUCUUGAGUGAGUGAGAAGUAUGCGGAAUGCGUGGUGUAGCGGUGAAAUGCAUAGAUAUCACGCAGAACUCCGAUUGCGAAGGCAGCAUACCGGCGCUCAACUGACGCUCAUGCACGAAAGUGUGGGUAUCGAACAGGAUUAGAUACCCGAGUAGUC